UGGGACAGUCGAGAUGGACUAAUAUAUCCCUUGUUGUCCCAAAACAUUAUGUUAUGUUAUGACCACUGACCAUUUCAGCAAGCUUGUGUAUAUGGCUUGAAAUAAUUAGAAUGACUUAUUUUUCCAUGAAACUUUAUGUAUAUUCUGUUCAACAAAAAGGAAAUGUACAUCUAGAUUAACACUGUAAUUUGUUUAUACUUGUAUCAUCACAUAGUUUUCUUCUGUACUUUUUAAAUCUCUCUAUAUAUACUACAAAACUAUACAUCACUUAUGGUGUAUUUGAGAUGUUUUGACAAGUAGAUAUUCUUCCUGUGAUAAGUACUAUGUAACCCUCUUUUUUUCAUGUAUGAUGGUCCUUAUCUUGUUGAUAUAGUCACUAAUUAAGAUUUUGUUGUUGUUGUCAGGGGGACUUGAUUCUAGAUUGUAAGAACUCGCUGGUAGAAGUGAUUGUAAAAAUCGUCAUGGCUAGCAAAAACAAGUCUUUAGUAAAGGUAGAGGAAUCAGGGUGCAUACCUCACUACUUAAUAAGUGGCAAGCAAGGAAUUAUAAACUUCUCUACUGGAAUGCAACCUGCAAUUUCUAAAGGAAAAGAUGGACAUCUCACAGUGAUUGCUGUGUCUCCAUAAGUUCAUUGCAGACUCAUUAACAUUGAAAGAAGAAAGCUUAUUGCAAAACUCUAGCAAGAGAACUCUAAAGUUUCCUAAGGAUUUUGUAUAAUUUUUCUAGUAAAAUAACAGCUGUUACUUUUUGUCUAACAUGCCUUAUGUAUGAUAGAUGUAUCAUGCAAUUAGUAAUCAUCUAGAACAUAACUCACAGUAUGGUGCUACUGUUCAGUACUUGUUAUUUAACUGUUUUUUUAAUGAAUUAUUUUGAAAUUAAAACUAAAGUUUAAAGAUUUGUAAUGGUUGAAAUUAAUAUUCUUAUUAAUGAAGUACUAUAUGAAUAAUUUGGCCCAUAAUAGUUUCUUCUCUUAAAAAACAGUGUGUUUAUUUUCACUAUUUAGAGAAGCACUAAUAAUUAAUUAAAAAAAAACGAUUUUUGUUGUCUUAAGAAAAGCACCAGAUCCAAAACAAUUACUAACCUGCACUGAAACUUGAGAGCUCUAAUUUGUAUGCACAAAAAAUGUUGGAUUUUUAAGUAUUUUCUCUUGAUCAAUAUCGAAAACUAAAAAAAUAUCUUAUUUAUAUUUCCUACUUAAAAUUUUCUUUAAAUAUCACCUUGUAUUUCUCCUCUAUACUUUAAAAAGCGUUAUGGUUUUUCUUGUAUUAAAAGUAUAUAUGUAUUUAAUUAUGAUGAAUGUAUAUACUUGGUUUUAUUGUAACAAAAUUAUGUCAAGAAAUUCAUAUUUCUUAUUAAAGUAUUCAGACUUCAAUAAGCGUGGCUUUAUUGACAAGAUUAUAGUUGGGUUGAUUGGCUUACCAGAUUUUAACAAAAUUGAUCUGCUUUUCAAAUUACAGCAUUGUUAAUGUGAUCUAACAAACUGUAUCAUUGUUGGUCUGUUCUACCAUGUUGUAGUAUUGAUGGUCAGAACUACCAUACUUUGAUAAACUUGUUCUGAUCAUUUAUGCUUUAGUAGACUUGGUCUGACUUGAUUAACCAAAUUUUAGACAUAGCUGGUCUGACUUACCAGGUUUUUUAUAGAAUAGAUUGAACUUAUCAGAACCUGUAUGUUUUAAUUAAUAGUAUGCCAUACUUUUGUGAUAUGUAUUUAACUUAACAAGUGUUUAUCUACCUUUACAAAACCUGGAAGUAUUUGUUAUUCACCAGUGAUACAAAGAAUGAUUAAAAUCACAUUUAUUUUUUUCAUUUACAAUAAACUAAUUGCUUUCACUAUGAAACACAAAAUGAAUGAGAACAUCAAAAAGUGCUUUUUCAAGCAAGUAAUUGUUAAUUCAAGGGUUGUUAAGGUUUAAAAAAACACUUCUAAAAAUUCGAUUGGAGUAUUGUUGUUGUACUGUAUUUAAAUUUCCUUCUCACAGACUUUAGUUUUUGUUACGAUUAAUUUAAUGUGUAAUGUUUUUUUUUUUUUUGAUAAUC
rnacentral:lncRNA from 1 species